AAAUGAGUUAUAAGUAUAAAGUAAUAUGACUCAUAACUGGCAUGUCUUUGGUAAGUGGGAAAAAAUGAGGGAAGGGACAACAAUGUUUAAAAAGAAAUGUACUCAUUACCUUACUUUUGUAACUGUAACCACCCUGUCCAUCACCUUUACAAUAAACUAAAAAAGGGGGGGGGGAAAGGAGAAUACUGUAAGACAAAUACAAUAAUCAAGAUAACCUUAAAAAAAUAAAAUAACCAUCAAAACGAAAUACAAGCUGGACAAGCUCAUGGCUCAGGAGCUCAUCAGAAAGGUGAGAUCAGUGAUCCUCAGAUUUUAGUCUCUCAGACUCUUAUCUCCAAUUAGCCACCAAAAAGCCAGAAAAUGUGGCUCAGGUGAUAAAACACUAGCUUUUGAUUAAAAAAAAAAAAAAAAAAUCCAUAAAU